AAGGAAUAUUGGUCAAUGGACGCAAGUCUGAACCAGCCAUGCCGCGUGGAGGAUGAAGGCCCUCUGGGUUGUAAACUUCUUUUAUAUGGGACGAAAAAGGGUCUUUCCAGAUCAACUGACGGUACCAUUUGAAUAAGCACCGGCUAACUCCGUGCCAGCAGCCGCGGUAAUACGGAGGGUGCAAGCGUUAUCCGGAUUCACUGGGUUUAAAGGGUGCGUAGGUGGGUCAGUAAGUCAGUGGUGAAAUCUCUGGGCUCAACCCGGAAACUGCCAUUGAUACUAUUGGUCUUGAAUAUUGUGGAGGUUAGCGGAAUAUGUCAUGUAGCGGUGAAAUGCUUAGAUAUGACAUAGAACACCAAUUGCGAAGGCAGCUGGCUACACAAAUAUUGACACUGAGGCACGAAAGCGUGGGGAUCAAAC
rnacentral:rRNA from 1 species